GCCUCCUCCAAAUAUAAGUGCCAAAUGAUACCUGCUGCACACAGGUGAGAAAGCCCAAACUGACCGAAAAUAGCCAAACAACAGCCCACAGGUGCUUCUGGACAGUGUACAACGACUCAUGCACUCAGGUGCACCCAUGCUGGAAACCACACACUCUGAAAACACCUGAGAUUGGUCCUUUCCGUCAAAGAGGUCAUGAGAACUGGGAUAACAGGCAGAGAGAGCGUGUCUACUUCCAGCUAAAGGGACCAAGCUGCAAAUCUGCAUCUGAUGGUAAAAAAUUGCCUUGAAACCCAACAUUAUUUCAGCAGGGAGGAAGAGACAGUCCAUUUUACAAAUUGACUCCUUCAGGAGACUGCGGCCUUGCAAUAUCCUCGCCUCCCCCAUGUACUCCUCUGUUGGGAGAUAUACACAAAGCAGGAAACCGAUCCUGCGAAGACGGCCAUGGAUUUAUGAUGCGGAGGCAAGUGCGACUGAACAAGGCCUAUUCCCAUCUGGGCUGGGAGCCACUGCCUUACUUGGAGAUUUAUGACGAGGAUGACACAGCUGAUUACGCUCGGUUACUGAAGAGAAUUGGACAUGGACCGGCUUCGGGGAUGUCUAGUGUGUAUAUUUGUGUUUAUGAUAUGGCAAAUGGAAGCACAGUAACCCAGUUUUGUUUGACUUGUUUUUCAUCAAACCUCCAUGACCUCCAUCAACCAAGUUUCCCAUGGACAAACAUAACAGACAACCUGACUUGUGGUAAAUCAAUGAUUGAAUGAAGGGACAGAGGAAUGAAAGAAUAAAUAAAUAAAUAACACACCCAGACUAAUGGAAAAAACACACUGAGUGUUGCGCAUGCCGUCUCUGGAUGUGAAGAAAUGUUAAGACUUUGCUGUGACCCCAUAAACCGCAUGUGCUGUGGACUUCCUUCCUUAUUCCUCUUGACAAAUUUGUGGGCUCGGCGUUAUGCUGUGGCCAAAUCCUGGACUUUGAGAGUUCAGCCAAACCAAAUAAUGGCUGCACAAUGGCUGAAGAGUCGUCAUGACCCCUCUGACCCUGUCUGGAGCAUGCUUCUGGAUUAUGGUCCUGCACACACUUUACCAGAAAACUGCAGAGUGUCACCUUGUCUGAUGCCUCAUAAAAUGGCUCUCCGCCCACUUGCCAGGCACUUCCACCUAACCAAGAUAAAGUCGAAUGAAAGAAAUGUACUCGUUCUCACCAGCUCAAUAAAUCACCGUUAGGUCAAGUUCAAGUGAAAACAGCAAAUAAGAAAGAAAGUGAAGCCAGAUGUUUGUCUGUUUUCCUUGAACUAACAUUAAACGGAUGUAAUGAGAUUCAGUCUAGAUCAGCACUUGGUUAACACAGCAUGUAUGCCAGUCUAAGCAUCUUGUGCAUUAUUAAAAAGGACUCCAUGUUCCUCGACUGUAUCAUAAACUGGGGUGACACAUCUAUAUUUUUUUCUUAGUUUAAUGUUAGGGGGAAGUAGUCUGCAUGUCAGGAAAGACAAAGGACAGACGCAUACAUGGCUUGACAUCAACUUGGAAUAAAUGCGGUUUUCUCACAAACCACUUGCCCCUCCUAAAGACUACUUUUAGGCCUUUGGGAGGCAUAGAGUCCAUUCCAUGGGUCUCAUUCCUCUUAGCUGUUUGGAUGAGACUUUGGGUGAAAGGGGUUGCUCUGUGUGAUUGAUGAGCCAUGGCCAAUUAGAGGCUUAGCCUUGGAGGCCCAAAAAGACACCCGUGAUCUCAGACAUAAACAGUGGCGGCCAUAGUGCCUGAAGAUACCUGUUGUCCAUGUAAAAAGGGCAAGCCUCCGGCCGGCAGCUGGGGAGGACAACAGUUCUUCUCUGGAGGUUUCGGAUGCUUUGACGACUCAAAAUACCUUUAAAAAGAAGUCAGGUUUUAAAAGAGAACAAGAGUCUGUCCCACAGGGAAAUUCCAUGGGUGAUGUCAGUAUUCCAGCAUGGUGCUAUCCCAGUGGGGGUAGGGUGGUGGAUGGCUGCUCCAUUUGACACCCUGUGGUUCACAAGCAACAGGGCGCCAGCCAGGGGCUCAUUAGACAAACUAUGACAACAAGAUGUUGCCCUUGAAAAUCAAUUAUAAAUGGGAGAACGUCUCUGCAUCUGUUUCUGCUUGGAGUUAUGCAGCACUGUCUACAUGCCGCUUUCUGUUUUUUUAGACGGCCUGACUCCACUGCCAUUCAGAUGGUCAUCCCUGUGGGAUUAGUGAUGACACCAAAGCCUCUGGGACAGUGCUUGUAAAUCAGAGCAGAUGAACUGGGGUGAUGACAGGUCUGGGAGGCCUCCGUUAUUUGACUAUGCCAUUUAUUGGGGCUUCCUGGGAGGUGGGUGUCUCAUUAUAGCCGCUUUGUGUGUUCCCCAGUGUGAGACAUGUAAAACUAGAAUAAAAAAAUUAUUUGGCCAUUUUGUGAGGGCUAUAUGUGGGCAGCAAGCUGUUUGCAUGGAGUAACGGGACCUUUCUUAUCAAUGUCUAUUAAUGACCGUUCAGCACUUUGCUUACACAACCUGGGGCUACCUUCCAAUGAUUCAACAUGUCACCUUUUCACCACUAAGUGCCAAGGAGCUGUGUUUUAAAUAGAAAACCAAGU